UGAGCAUGAUGAUGAUUUAAAUACUUGGAAAGUUAUUUUGAGGUAUAAAACUGAGUUUUUGAAAACUGACUCAA
rfam:Cajanus cajan Scaffold133314_1, whole genome shotgun sequence.